rnacentral:rRNA from 1 species
UGGCUCAGAUUGAACGCUGGCGGAAUGCUUUACACAUGCAAGUCGAGCGGCAGCGCGGGGCAACCUGGCGGCGAGCGGCGAACGGGUGAGUAACAUAUCGGAACGUAUCCUUGAGUGGGGGACAACUAGUCGAAAGACUAGCUAAUACCGCAUACGCUCGAGAGAGGAAAGUGGGGGACCGCAAGGCCUCACGCUGAAGGAGCGGCCGAUAUCAGAUUAGCUAGAUGGUGAGGUAAAGGCUUACCAUGGCGACGAUCUGUAGCUGGUCUGAGAGGAUGAUCAGCCACACUGGGACUGAGACACGGCCCAGACUCCUACGGGAGGCAGCAGUGGGGAAUUUUGGACAAUGGGGGCAACCCUGAUCCAGCCAUUCCGCGUGAGUGAAGAAGGCCUUCGGGUUGUAAAGCUCUUUUGUUCGGGACGAAACGGUUAAGGCUAAUAACCUUGACUAAUGACGGUACCGGAAGAAUAAGCACCGGCUACUACGCAGAGUUCCGC